AACAUCACUGUUAACGAAGCUCAAUCACGCGGAAGCGGCGGCGGCGGCGGUUUUGGUGGUGGCCGACGGGGUGGUGGUGGUUUUGGUGGCGGCGGCGGCGGAUACAAUGGAGGUGGUGGAUACGGGCGACGUGAAGGUGGGAACGGUGGCGGUUAUGGAGGUGGUCGUGACCGGGGAUAUGGUGGUGGUGGUGAUCGUUAUGGCGGUGGAGGUGAUCGUUACUCAAGAGGUGGUGGUGCAUCAGAAGGAAGCUGGAGGAAUUAGGGAUAAAUUCCGAAAUAUUGGGUUUAAUAGUUUUGGAUUAAAAACUACUAAUAUGUUUCUGUGUUGGGUUUUUGUUUAGUGUUAUGGUUUCUCGUCAUGUUACUACCGUGAGGGAUUUGUGCAAAUUUCAAUCUAAAGUUUU
rnacentral:misc_RNA from 1 species